AUUGAACGCUGGCGGCAUGCUUUACACAUGCAAGUCGGACGAGUGGCGGACGGGUGAGUAACGCAUCGGAACGGACCCAGUAGUGGGGGAUAACUGUCCGAAAGGAUGGCUAAUAACACAUACUAUUGGAGCGGCCGAUGUCGGAUUAGCUGGUUGGUGGGGUAAAGGCCCCCCAAGGCAACGAUCAGUAGCGGGUCUGAGAGGAUGAUCCGCCACACUGGGACUGAGAGACGGCCCAGACUCCUACGGGAGGCAGCAGUGGGGAAUUUUGGACAAUGGGCGCAAGCCUGAUCCAGCCAUGCCGCGUGUCUGAAGAAGGCCUUCGGGUUGUAAAGGACGUUUGUCAGGGAAGCGGUACCUGAAGAAUAAGCACCGGCUAACUACGUGCCAGCAGCCGCGGUAAUUC
rnacentral:rRNA from 1 species